rnacentral:rRNA from 1 species
UAGCGAUAGCUAAUUGUACUAACAAACAGUUAAUGCAAUAUCGACUAUGUUGAAUAAAAUUCUAGGUAGAAUUAUGAUAAUGACAUUAUCUGCCUAUGUGUCUUGACCAAAUUACGUGCCAGCAGUCGCGGUAAUACGUAGAAGACUAGUGUUAUUCAUCUUUAAUAGGUUUAAAGGGUACCUAGACAGUAAAUCAAGCCAACAAAGGGACUAAUUUACUAGAGUUACUUGUGAGGGGGUUUGAAAGUACUAGUGGUGUUUAGAGAUGAAAUUCUUUGAUACCUUUCUAAGCUUAGGAAUUACGGCACAGGUAUAGGCGAAGGUAUCCCCUUAUGUGAUAACUGACGUUGAAGGACGAAGGCUUUUUGUAGCGAACAGGAUUAGAUACCCCAGUAGUCAAAGCAGAAAAUGAUGAAUGUCAUAGAUUAGACGUAUAAUAGUUUAUUCUAUAAAUGAAAGUGUAAGCAUUCCACCUCAAGAGUAAUUUGGCAACAUUGGAACUGAAAUCAUUAGACCGUUUCUGAAACCAGUAGUGAAGUAUGUUGUUUAAUUUGAUGCUCCGCAAAAAACCUUACCACAAUUUGAAUAUUUAUAUUGUUUUUUUUUUCAAUUUUUUGAAAAGAAAAAUGUAUAUUUACAAGCGUUGCACGGCUGUCUUCAGUUAAUGUCGUGAGACUUUGGUUAGAUCCAUUAAAUUAACGUAAACCCUCACUUUAUUUUUAAAUAAAGUAGUUCUCCGCUAGAUUGGAUAAGAUAACA